UUCCUUAAGUAAUGUUGAUAUUGAAAGCUACUUGCUUGCCGGUCUUGGAUCCGAUUAUAAUCCUUUUGUUACAAUGGUUACUACUCGACUUGAUUCUCUUUCUCUUGAGGAACUUUACUGUCAUCUCCUCACCCAUGAGU